ACCAGGAUGGGUGAGUGGUUAAGCCGUUGGACUUAAGAUCCAAUGGACAGACGUCCUCAUGGGUUCAAAUCCCACUCCUGGUA